ensembl:lncRNA
GCAAGAAAUCCACAUUCAGUUACAAACCUUGUCUGACAAAACCUUAAGUCAGGUUCAAGAGAAUGUCUUUGGAACAGCAUCCUCAAGCAGUUGCAAAGAGUUCCUGCACACCACUAAAGGCAUUUUAUUUUUUUACAUUUGCCAAAGAGAAACUGUUUCAGGAACACCACUCUUUUCAAUUCUAAUUCCAGAUUGAAAACUAUGACUGUGUGCCUAGUGGGUUUAAUUUAGCUCUACUCAAAAUUCUAAAAGCUACUUUGGGAUAAAAGCCAUUUAUUGACAUUUUGAAGAUAUUUCACAGCGACUUAGAAGACACAUUACUAGAAUAUUUUUUUUUUUAACUCACAUUAAGUUGAGAAGUUGAGGGAACUGUGAAGAAUUUUAUCUACCGGUAUUUGAUAUGGGGCUUUUCAAUUUGAGCAAUAAAAUGUAUCUGAUAGAAAAUGUGUCCCAAUAUAACGUCUGCAUUUUAGAUUGCACGUUUGUAUGUAGACAAAAUCAUUUGUGGGUGAAAGGAUAUUGUGAAACAAUGUUAUUUAAAUAUUAAAGGGAUUGUUUGACCUGAAAAAUGACCCCAUGGGCCUUCAAGAAAAUCUCAGGGUAAUUGUAAUUUCAACCAAUUAUGAAUCUAGGUCAAUCUAUCCCUUUAAUAGUUAUAAUAUCCCUUUAAUAGUUAUAUUGCCUGCCUCAAGUGGAGGAGUUUAAGUAUCUAGGGGUCUUGUUCCCGAAGGAGGGAAGGAUGGAACGGGAGAUUGACAGACGGAUCGGUGCAGCUUCUGCAAUAAUGCGGUCGAUUUACCGGUCAAUCUACGUUCCUAUUCUCACCUAUGGUCAUAAGCUUUGGGUCAUGACCGAAAGGACAAGAUCCCGGAUACAGGCGGCCGAAAUGAGCUUUCUCCGCAGGGUGGCUGGGCGAACCCUUAGAGAUAGGAUGAGAAGCUCGGUCACCCGGGAGGAGCUCAGAGUAGAGCCAUCGAGAGUGGUCAGCUGAGGUGGCUUGGGCAUCUGUUUCGGAUGCCUCCGGAACGCCUUCCUGGGAAGGUGUUCCGGUCCCGUCCCAUCGGGAGGAGACCCCGGAGAAGACCUAGGACACGCUGGAGGGACUAUGUCUCCCGGCUGGCCUGGGAACGCCUCGGUGUCCCCCCGGAAGAGCUAGAGGAAGUGUCUGGGGAGAGGGAAGUCUGGGCAUCUCUGCUUAGACUGCUGCCCCCGCGACCCAGCCCCGGAUAAGCGGAAGAAAAUGAUGAUAUUGCAUAAAUUCAUGAAAUUGGUCCAUUAAAUAUUUUAUUGGAUAUACAACCGUGUAAUUGUUAUUGUGACAAUGGGCCUCAUUCAUGAAACAUGCAUACAAUCCAAUUUGAUUGUACGACCAUUUCACAGACAGAGCUGGUAUUCAUCAAUAUUAUCUUUGUUGUAUCCUUGCGAUCAAACUCAUGUCUGGUCGGAGGCCGCGUAAACCCCUGUCAAAAACAUAAGAUCAUGCUUGAUUCCCAAUAAGACCAUCAUUAUCAUGAAAAACAGCAAUCAUAACAGUCUCAGUAACAACAACCACAAUUACAAUUAUAGGUAAUAUAAAACAAGUUGAAGAGGAAUAUAACAUCUCCAAAUGUAACCACAAUAUCAAAUAUUGUGUCACUAUUGUUAUAUAUUUUAAUUUCAUUUUCUCUUAUUUCUGUUGUUCAUGCGAUUUUAAGGGUUGAAAUGCAUGUGUGUAAUGCGCUAGACAAAUUUGCUUUGUCUGGCUUUUCCUAAGUCACUGAAGCUGUAUCGACGUACUUGGAGGUCAUAAAUGGUCGUUCAUUUCGGUGGCCGGCAUCUUGAAUAGCUAGCAGGUCUUAAAUUGACUAGUGAGAGGAUAAAUUAACCAGUAGCUCUGGGUCGAGCAGUUACCCUAAUGAUGGCAGAGCUUGCUCUUUUAAAGGACUUCGGCUCUGGGCUGAGACGCGAAAGAGUUCCGUAACUGCGGCUGAUUUCGUCGUGGGGAAUGAUGAAUGGUUAAUUAUCCGUUUCAGGCUAUAAUUUAUGUUGAAGUCUGUCAAUUCAUAGGCUGCUGAUCGCCACCCCCGCAUUAAUCACAGGUGUGUCAUAUGUAAAUAGGGACAGCUGCAGUGCGUUCUUGCGUCCACGGCUUAAUCGGAUUUAUCAAUCUGCGAUCACAUCUACGCUAAUUUCGAUUUAUGAAUGAGGGACAAUAUUUAUAUUUCAGUGUUGUGUUGUCAGGAUCAUGUAAUGGUACCUGUGUGGACGUCUUGGUCUGACAACUUGUGUUUUUGCAGAUCCUUGAUUUGCUGUACCAUAGGGACAUGAAGUUGAUUCUGUCGCCAACUUGUGGACCUGUCCUAAGGAUCUUCAAAAACACCACUGUUGUAUUUUUGAUCACAUAGGUUUUCCUGUCAGACCGGUUGUCUUUAAUUUCCAUGCCCUGGCCUGACUGACCGGAACAUUUAUCCGAACAGAAAUCUAAUGCUUCUCACAGUGGAGAAUUCUGGACUGGUUGUGAGGUCACAGGAAAUAGACUGCAUCUUCGACACAGCUCAAUAAAUGUUUUCACAAUUUAAAUCUGAGUUUACAGUAUGAACUGUGUCACAAAUUUAUUGGUGCCAUUGAUAUUUCCUGUAGGCUAAUUUUAGUAAUUACAACAUCAAGUUAAUAAAAGGAUCAAUAGUAUGUACCUACUAUGUUUUCAUUCUCCCAGCUCGAUGGAACUUGAUGUGCUGGAGUCCUUGCUUAAGAUGUAAAAUAUCAGGUUGUUCCUUACUUGCUGCAGCCUAAUGGUCAUCUUAUUGUGAAACCUGUAACACAUUUUUAAUCUCUCAAUUUUUUUAUGGUACCAACCAGUCUCUGGACAGUCAUAAGCUCCUAACAAACCUAACGACCCUGUUAACUAAAUAUGUAUAUCUAUUUAAAAACGGUGUUGUCUAUCUGGCCAAAACAAUUUGAUCUCUGAUACAUUCUGAAUAUGUAUCCGUAUUCAGUACAAUAUGUAUUGUGAAUGCACAUCAAUCAGAUUUUAGACCUCUGUUAGUCAUCGUUUUUUGGGGGGAAGCUAUAUCUGGGUUUGCUUUACCAGUUUUUCCUUGAACAAUGCCUUGAAAAAUAAAAAUGUUGAAAUGUUCCUUUUUGGUUUGGGCUUUACUUCGUUCCAAAACGAACUUGUUACUUGUGAUUAUCCCGUUUUAUGUUCACCACCCA